rnacentral:rRNA from 1 species
ACGGAAGGCAGCAGUGGGGAAUAUUGCGCAAUGGGGGAAACCCUGACGCAGCAACGCCGCGUGAAGGAAGAAGGUUUUCGGAUUGUAAACUUCUGUCGCAAGGGAAGAAUAAAGUGACGGUACCUUGUGAGAAAGUCACGGCUAACUACGUGCCAGCAGCCGCGGUAAUACGUAGGUGACGAGCGUUGUCCGGAUUUACUGGGUGUAAAGGGCGCGUAGGCGGGAUAGCAAGUCAGAUGUGAAAUACCGAGGCUCAACCUCGGGGCUGCAUUUGAAACUGUUAUUCUUGAGUGUCGGAGAGGAAAGCGGAAUUCCUAGUGUAGCGGUGAAAUGCGUAGAUAUUAGGAGGAACACCGGUGGCGAAGGCGGCUUUCUGGACGAUAACUGACGCUGAGGCGCGAAAGUGUGGGGAGCAAACAGGAUUAGAUACCCUGGUA